AGAGUUUGAUCCUGGCUCAGGAUGAACGCUGGCGGCGUGCUUAACACAUGCAAGUCGAGCGAAGCACUUUGUUUUGAAUCUUCGGAGGAAGAACGAAGUGACUGAGCGGCGGACGGGUGAGUAACGCGUGGGCAACCUGCCUCAUACAGGGGGAUAACAGUUAGAAAUGACUGCUAAUACCGUAUAAGACCACGGUACUGCAUGGUACAGUGGUAAAAACUCCGGUGGUAUGAGAUGGGCCCGCGUCUGAUUAGCUAGUUGGUGAGGUAACGGCUCACCAAGGCAACGAUCAGUAGCCGACCUGAGAGGGUGACCGGCCACAUUGGGACUGAGACACGGCCCAAACUCCUACGGGAGGCAGCAGUGGGGAAUAUUGCACAAUGGGGGAAACCCUGAUGCAGCGACGCCGCGUGAGCGAUGAAGUAUUUCGGUAUGUAAAGCUCUAUCAGCAGGGAAGAAAAUGACGGUACCUGACUAAGAAGCCCCGGCUAACUACGUA
rnacentral:rRNA from 1 species